GGAUCCCAGGUCCGCUAAGCCCCUUCCCCUCCUCGGCUGCGUCUUACGAAGCGCUGGCGGCCACCGAGUCUGCACCCAGUCAGGGGGGAAAAGGAGGGGAAGGAGGAGGGGGAGGAGGAGAAGCAUCACCAUCGGCGAUGCAGCUUUCUCGCGACCCGGGCAGAGAGUCUACUUUCAAGCCUUGGGGUAAUGGGCAUCACUAAAGAAGAUGAGCUUGCCUGUGCAAAGUGCCAGAGUGCUUGAGAGGAGUGAAGGCUGCAGGAUGGGGAACUGUAUGGACUGCUGAAAAGCAACAGAAGAGUGGGUAGAGUAACAAUGCUUUGCCUGACAUCAGAAUCACAGGAUGGCUGAGUUUGGAAGGGUCAUCCAGCCCAACUCUCACAGCACAAGAAGGGCCAUCUCAAUUGUUUUGCUGGGGAUGGGCAUAUCUGGAUGUUUUUUAAUAUCUCCAAAGAUGAAGACCACCCCUCUGGACUAAUUAUUCCAGUGCUCAGUCACCUUCACAGUUCCCUGAUGAUGUUCAGAGAAAACCUCCCAUGUUCCAAAUUGUUCUAUGUCCAUUGCCUCUGGACCUCUCACUCGGCACCACUGAAAAAGAGCCUGGCUCUGUCCUCUUUGCACCUUUCCUUCAGUUAAACAUUGAUGAGAUAUGCUUUGAGUCUUCUCUUCUCCAGGCUGAGCAAUCCCAACUCUCCCAGUCUCUCCUCAGAAACACGGGGCUCAGAAGGAACUUAGAGAGACAGAACAAACAAGUGACGAUUAGUGUGAGCAGAAACAGAAGUGGAACUGAGUGAGUGGGUGCAGAGGAGAAGGAUGACUGUCUCUUGCUGAAGUAGGAACUGAAGAAAUGAAAAGUUAAAGAUUAUUUUUCCUAACAUUAGUACUCUUCCUGAAUCUUGCCUGUGAGAAGACAACCAUGAAUUAACUGAACAAGGAGAAAGAGGAAAUAUUUAAAACACAUGCAUGCACACUUGCACCACCUCUUGUAGCACACUCAAGUCAUGCUCCUGCAGUCAUCUUGCUCCAGGAUGCUUUGACAGAUGUCCACUAAAGCAGAAGGCUUUACUGUGAGCAGCACGUGCUAAUUCAACCAAUGACUUACACAAGGAACAGUUGAUGUAGUGCCCUCAGAAACGCAUAUUUAGUAUGGCCCUAGAAUGAAGUCAGUACAUCCAGACACUGGAAAAUAUUCAUAUGUAUCAGUUUUUUCACUACUAAAGAGUGUUCACUGGCUUUAACUGCAAUUUUAUAAAUCCUAACAAAUUUUAUGCUCACAGGAAACCAAUUUCUUACACAUGACUAAUUUCAGCAUGAUGAAUUUAAGCAUAUGACUGAUUGUGGAAUGUGGCAGUGGAACCCUGAAACAUCUUGUAUGUUUUUUUCUAGCAGAAAACAGUGGGUAUACAUUCUCUAUGGUGUUUACACCUGCAAAUCCCUCCAAAACAAGGAAUAUAUGCUCCUCCAAACUUUAUAUCCCUUCCAAAGCCAGGCAUAGGUUUCUCUCUGACCUCAAUAUUAAGUCUUUAUGCUACGAGUAGAUUGCUAAGUUUAUGUUGGCAUUAUUGGAAGUAACAUCUCUAAAUCCCAGUUCAUUGCAGUAAGAAUAUACUACUUCAGAGGUUGCAUUUUACAGAGACAUGAAAAUCUGGUACUUGACAACCAGUUAUAGACGACAGUUACCUCUAUUCAUGGUUCAUUUACUGUAAAACCAGUUUAAGAAUGUAUAAAUAAGCCUGUACCAAAA